ACUCCUGCCGAUGGAUAUCUUGGCUCUCGCAACGAUGAAGAACGCAGCGAAAUGCGAUACGUAGUGCGAAUUGCAGAAUUCAGUGAAUCAUCGAACCUUUGAACGCAAAUGGCGCAUCCGGGCUCCGCUCGGACGCAUGUCUCUUCGAGGGGCGCCUCCAUCCUCCUCGGAGCGAGAGAGCUCUCUCUCUCGUCUUCGGAGCCGGCGGCCGCGCGGGGGAGCCUCGGCCCCCUCGCGCGCCCGCCCAAGGCUACCUUGCGAGCGCGGCGGCGGCGUCUAACCCGCGUCCCCGCCGGAGUGCUAAGUCCACGACUAGACCUCCGGCGGACGCGUGCCCCGUUCUGCCUCGCGACCCCCGGCGUGCGCGGUGCCUCUCCUCUCCUCCGGGAGAGCGAGGCCCGCCCGCCCCGGCGCGCGGCCGCUCUCUGUGCGGCCGCGCGCCUCGAAACCCGCCAUCGAAUGAGGCAAGACUACCCGCUGAACUUAAGCAUAUCACUAAGCGGAGGAGAAGAAACUAACCAGGAUGCCCCUAGUAAUGGCGAAUGAAGCGGGCUGAGCUCACGCUGCCAAUCUGGAGGCCUCGCGUAUGCAGCGCCCCCCGAAUUGUGGUCUAGAGAGGCGUUAUCGGCCGCGCCCGCUGCUCAAGUCCCUUGGAACAGGGUGUCGGAGAGGGUGAGAAUCCCGUACCGUGGCGGGUUGCGGCCUUACGAUGCGUCCUCGUCGAGUCGGGUUGCUUGGGAUUGCAGCUUGAAUUGGGUGGUAAAUUCCAUCUAAAGCUAAAUACUGGCGAGAGACCGAUAGCGAACAAGUACCGUGAGGGAAAGAUGCAAAGAACUUUGAAAAGAGAGUCAAAGAGUGCUUGAAAUCGGUAGGAGGAAACCCGGAUGGGCCCGGCUUCGGCGCGCCGACUCAGCCUGGGGUUCUCCCCAGGUGCACUUCUGCGCGCCGGGUCAGCCGCGCCUCGGCGCCGCGCCUCAACCCGGGAGCGGGGCUUUACGGCCAGCUCCCGUCCUGGCGCGGCCCGGGGCCCGGCUGACGGAACGGGCCCCUCCGACCCGUCUAGAAACACGGACCAAGGAGUCUGACACGUGUGCGAGUACCCGGGUGGCAAGCCCGCGUGCGGAAUGAAAGUGAAGGGCAUGCCCUGCCAACCGACCUUGACCUGCUGUGAGGGGUUUGAGUGGAGCACACCUGUCGGGACCCGAAAGAUGGUGAACUAUGCCUGGGUAGGGUGAAGCCAGAGGAAACUCUGGUGGAGGCUCGUAGCGAUACUGACGUGCAAAUCGUUCGUCGAAUCUGGGUAUAGGGGCGAAAGACUAAUCGAACCAUCUAGUAGCUGGUUCCCUCCGAAGUUUCCCUCAGGAUAGCUUGAACGCAACGGUUUUGUCAGGUAAAGCGAAUGAUUAGAGGCCUGUGGGCUGAAACAGCUUGCACCUAUUCUCAAACUUUAAAUGGGCAAGAGGCCCGGGAUGCUUGAGUGAUCCCGGGCGGCGAACGGCGCGUUCAAAGUGGGCCAUUUUUGGUAAGCAGAACUGGCGAUGCGGGAUGAACCGAACGCCGCGCUAAGGUACCCAAGUGUCCGCUCAUCAGAUACCACAAAAGGCGUUGGUACCUCCAGACAGCAGGACGGUGGCCAUGGAAGUCGGAACCCGCUAAGGAGUGUGUAACAACUCACCUGCCGAAGGUACUAGCCCUGAAAAUGGAUGGCGCUCAAGCGGACCACCGAUGCGCGGCCGCCGGCGCGAGCGCGAGGCGCCGGCGAGUAGGAGGGCGCGGGGCUCGCGGCGCAGCCUUGGGCGCGAGCCUGGGUGAAGCGGGCCCCGGUGCAGAUCUUGGUGGUAGUAGCAAAUAUUCAAAUGAGAACUUUGAAGACUGAAGUGGAGAAAGGUUCCGUGUGAACAGCAGUUGGACACGGGUGAGCCGACCCUAAGAGACAGGAAAACUCCGCCGAACGCGGCUGGUUCUGUCAGCCCGUCCGUCGAAAGGGAAUCGGGUUAAUAUUCCCGAGCCAGCGCGUGGAUGGUGGGCGGCGACGCGAACGAACCCGGAGACGCCGGCGGGAGCCCUGGGAAGAGUUCUCUUUUCUUCUUAACUGCCUCCUGCCCUGGAAUCGGUUUAGCCGGAGCGAGGGCUACACGGCAGGCAAAGCACCCUAAGUCUUGGGGUGUCCGGCGCGCUCCCGACGGCCCGUGAAAAUCCGGGGGAGCGGUUCGUUCUCACGCCUGGUCGUACUCAUAACCGCAUCAGGUCUCCAAGGUGAACAGCCUCUAGUCGAUAGAGCAAUGUAGGUAAGGGAAGUCGGCAAAAUGGUUCCGCAACCUCGGGAGAAGGAAUGGCUCUGAAGGCUGGGCGCAGGGGUCCUAGGCUCGAGGCCGGCUGGCUGCGCGGGGACUACGGCCUCACGGCUGCGGAUCCCGCGCGGCCGUCCGGCGGACGGCCUAGGAGCGCUCCGGCUCUCCCUGCGCGACGAACAGCCGCUUCAGAACUGGCGCGGACAAGGGGAAUCCGACUGUUUAAUUAAAACAAAGCAUUGCGAUGGCCCGCGAGGGUGCUGACGCAAUGUGAUUUCUGCCCAGUGCUCUGAAUGUCAAAGUGAAGAAAUUCAACCAAGCGCGGGUAAACGGCGGGAGUAACUAUGACUCUCUUAAGGUAGCCAAAUGCCUCGUCAUCCAAUUAGUGACGCGCAUGAAUGGAUUCGUGAGAUUCCCACUGUCCCUAUCUACUGUCUAGCGAAACCACAGCCAAGGGAACGGGCUUGGAAGAAUCAGCGGGGAAAGAAGACCCUGUUGAGCUUGACUCUAGUCUGUUACUGUGGAACGACUUGAUGGGUGUAGAAUAUGCGGGAGGGGCAACCCGACAGUGAAAUACCGCAACCGUCAACGUUGUUUUACUUACUCGGUGGCGCGGAGGGAGGCUCGCCUCACUUCUGGAUCCAAGCCGCUUCGUGCGCGCGAUCCGCGUCGGGGACACUAACAGGUGGGGAGUUUGGCUGGGGCGGCACGUCUGUUAAAAAAUAACGCAGGCGCCCGAUUUUGAGCUCAAUGAGAACAGAAAUCUCAUGUGGACCGAAAGGGGAAAAGCUCGGUUGAUUUUGAUUUUCAGUACGAAUACAAACCGCGAAAGCGUGGCCUAUCGAUCCUCUCGUCUUUGGGAAUUUCAAGCUAGAGGUGUCAGAAAAGUUACCACAGGGAUAACUGGCUUGUGGCUGCCAAGCGUUCAUAGCGACGUAGCUUUUUGAUCCUUCGAUGUCGGCUCUUCCUAUCACUGCCUCGCAGCGGGGGCCAAAUGCAGGAUUGUUCACCCACCAACAGGGAACGUGAGCUGGGUUUAGACCGUCGUGAGACAGGUUAGUUUUACCCUACUGCUGUCUGUUUUUCUACGGUAAUUUGGUUCAGUACGAGAGGAACCACCAAUUCGCAUCAUCGGUAUAGCCGCCGCCGGAAACGGCGAUGCGGCGAAGCUGCCAUGCGCCGGAUUAUAACUGAACGCCUCUAAGUUAGAAUCCAUGCCGGAAGGAAAGCCACCUACCGGCCCGGGGACGCCACGAGCAACGGUAGCACUGCCUGAGCCGCGAGCGACCACAAUUCACGGACCCGGGCCGACGAAUCCCUUGCAGACGACUUGAAUAAGGAACAGGGUAUUGUACGCGGCAGAGUGGCCUUGUUGCCACGAUCCGCUGAGAUUCAGCCUUGGUUCUGAUGAUUUGUUGCGCGCGCGCAACAACCCUCAGGGCCUCUCCCGUUCCCGUUCCUCAGUCGCUCUCUCGGCGCUCUCCCCCCCUCGCCUCUCCUCCGAGCCUCACUUGCUCGGGGGCGGAGCCGAGGGGCGAGAGCGCGAUUUCUGCCCAAGGCAGCGCGCAGGCCACUGCGCAGACACACCCGGCUCUCCCCGAGCCGCCACUGGGCGCUCCCGCGGUCCCCCUCCGGGCUGAAUGCGGCCUCCGGAGCGGGCGGCGCGAGCGUCUAAGUCUACUCAGAGCCUUCCACGCUCUUCUUUGCGUUCCAAAGCACCCACUGCGCUCCUCUGUGUAGCAUCGCCCGGCCAACUCGCUUGCCCACUGUCAUUGCCCCCGCCGCCCUCUCACUGUGGCCGCCCUGUACCGUUUCCUCCACCGCCCUCGCCACCACCCUCGCCACCGCCCUCGCCACCGCCCUCGCCACCGCCCCCACGCCGCCGCUACCAUUCCGGCCACCCUCGCCGCCCCCACCCUCAUCCCCACCUUGCCCCCGCCGCCCGUUGCAGCUGCAAUCCCCACCCGCCCUCCGACGCUAGCCCCCGCCGGCCUGCCCCAAGGCAGUGCGCAGGCCACUACGCAGACACACCCGGCUCUCUCCGAGCCGCCACUGGGCGCUCCCGCGGUCCCCUCCGGGCUGAAUGCGGCCUCCGGAGCGGGCGGCGCAAGCGUCCUACCCCCCUCAGAGCCUUCCAUGCUCUUCUUAGCGUUUUCCGAAGCACACACUGCACUCCUCUAGCAUCACCCACAAGUCACCUCCGUUGCCACUGUCCUUGGACCUCCUCACCGCCACCGCCCUCCUCACCACCGUCUCCACCGCCGCUGCUCUCACCACCCUCGCCACCACCACCAUGCCCGCCUCCCUCGCUGCCACCCACGCCGCCGCCACCGGCCCACCGCCCCCACCCCCUCCGCUGCCCUCGCCCUUGCCGUCACCGCGCCGCAAGAUCUCUUACACUAUCCCCCGCCCUUGCCGCCGCCCUCGCCGCCGCCUCCCGCCUCGCCGCGCCGCCCUCACCCCCGCCCCCCUCGGCCACUGCGGCCACUCUCACCACCCCUCGCCCUCGCCGCCGCCGCCCUCCUCGCCGCCGGGGCCCGCCCUCGCAGCCACGGCACCCUUGCCCCCUCCACCCUCCUCUCCGCCCCCGCCCCUGCCCCCACUCGCCGUCGCCCUCCGCCGCCCCCCUCCCGCCCCGCCACCACCCUCCGCCCCGCCACCACCCUCCCCUCGGCCGCCCUCCGGCAUGCCACCGUUCUCGCCCUCGCCUCCGAGCCGCCCCGCUGCCCUCGCCACUGCCCCCGUCGCCGCCACCCCCGUCGCUGCCGCCCUCGCCGCCGACCUACCCCCCUUGCCGUCUCCACCACCGUCAUCCCCACCCCCAUCUUCCGCCCCUUCUUUCUCGCUCCCGGGUGCACCGGAGCCCACCCAAGGGGGCCCGGGAAGGGUCACGCUGGCGCUUAGACGGCCCCUCGCGGCGCCACGGCGGUACCUUCCGGUCCGCAGGUGUUAUAUAGGAUGUGUACUGCCCAGAGAGCACUUCUAAGCCACCACUGGGUCCAUAGUGGACGGACACACAGCCUCAGCCGGCCCGGCGGGCUCCCGACCAGAGCCCGUCCGGAGGCCACAAACGGACACUCUACCGACCUCUACACCUCUAGACAAUCCACUCCGACUAGCAUACGGUGUUGGCCUGACCGCCCUGCGGCCCCAGCUACCAGCUGGCGCCGCUCGUCCCGGCUGGAGGCGCCUGGGGCGCCCAAAAUCGCGGAGCCGGCGACGUCCUCCGGCCAGCAACCGGAUCGGGCGUCCGCCCCGCCCCCUCGGCGACCCGAGAUGGUCUCCCGGACCCCCGAGGCUUGGCGCACCGCGGGAGGGGGGCAGCCCGGCCACCCUGCACCGCCCAGGCCGCCCUCUGCGAGCCCAGGCGCGCCGUCGAGAGUGCCGACGCGAUGUCGACGAUUUU
rnacentral:rRNA from 1 species